rnacentral:rRNA from 1 species
AUGAACGCUGGCGGCGUGCCUCAUACAUGCCAGUCGAGCGCACAGAUGAGGAGCUUGCUCCUCUGACGUUAGCGGCGGACGGGUGAGUAACACGUGGAUAACCUACCUAUAAGACUGGGAUAACUUCGGGAAACCGGAGCUAAUACCGGAUAAUAUAUUGAACCGCAUGGUUCAAUAGUGAAAGACGGUUUUGCUGUCACUUAUAGAUGGAUCCGCGCCGCAUUAGCUAGUUGGUAAGGUAACGGCUUACCAAGGCAACGAUGCGUAGCCGACCUGAGAGGGUGAUCGGCCACACUGGAACUGAGACACGGUCCAGACUCCUACGGGAGGCAGCAGUAGGGAAUCUUCCGCAAUGGGCGAAAGCCUGACGGAGCAACGCCGCGUGAGUGAUGAAGGUCUUCGGAUCGUAAAACUCUGUUAUUAGGGAAGAACAAAUGUGUAAGUAACUAUGCACGUCUUGACGGUACCUAAUCAGAAAGCCACGGCUAACUACGUG